AAACUGCGAAUGGCUCAUUAAAUCAGUUAUCGUUUAUUUGAUAGUACCUUACUACUUGGAUAACCGUGGUAAUUCUAGAGCUAAUACAUGCUAAAAACCCCGACUUCGGGAGGGGUGUAUUUAUUAGAUAAAAAACCAAUGCCCUUCGGGGCUCUUUGGUGAUUCAUGAUAACUUAACGGAUCGCAUGGCCUUGCGCCGGCGACGGUUCAUUCAAAUUUCUGCCCUAUCAACUUUCGAUGGUAAGGUAUUGGCUUACCAUGGUUUCAACGGGUAACGGGGAAUUAGGGUUCGAUUCCGGAGAGGGAGCCUGAGAAACGGCUACCACAUCCAAGGAAGGCAGCAGGCGCGCAAAUUACCCAAUCCCGACACGGGGAGGUAGUGACAAUAAAUACUGAUACAGGGCUCUUUUGGGUCUUGUAAUCGGAAUGAGUACAAUUUAAACCCCUUAACGAGGAACAAUUGGAGGGCAAGUCUGGUGCCAGCAGCCGCGGUAAUUCCAGCUCCAAUAGCGUAUAUUAAAGUUGUUGCAGUUAAAAAGCUCGUAGUUGAACCUUGGGCCUGGCUGGCCGGUCCGCCUCACCGCGUGUACUGGUCCGGCCGGGCCUUUCCUUCUGGAGAGCCGCAUGCCCUUCACUGGGUGUGUCGGGGAACCAGGACUUUUACUUUGAAAAAAUUAGAGUGUUCAAAGCAGGCCUUUGCUCGAAUACGUUAGCAUGGAAUAAUAGAAUAGGACGUGCGGUCCUAUUUUGUUGGUUUCUAGGACCGCCGUAAUGAUUAAUAGGGAUAGUCGGGGGCAUCAGUAUUCAAUUGUCAGAGGUGAAAUUCUUGGAUUUAUUGAAGACUAACUACUGCGAAAGCAUUUGCCAAGGAUGUUUUCAUUAAUCAGUGAACGAAAGUUAGGGGAUCGAAGACGAUCAGAUACCGUCGUAGUCUUAACCGUAAACUAUGCCGACUAGGGAUCGGGCGAUGUUUCUAUCUUGACUCGCUCGGCACCUUACGAGAAAUCAAAGUUUUUGGGUUCUGGGGG
rnacentral:rRNA from 1 species